GUGACCUGUUGUGUUUGUGGAAGCUCUGGAAUCCCACAGGAGAAGGAUCACUCAACACCAUGGCAAUCUGCCAAGUACAACUUGUUUUGAAACACAGUGGCUCUGAGAAGAUGCAUUAUCAUCUGAAACACAAUGUCAUCAUAGUGGGAGGAACAGGACAUGAACCGGCCUUCCACACUGCCCACCUGAUUGUUUUCUGUGAGGAGUCCAGCUACCAAUAUCUACAAGUGUCCUGCCCUUUGCUGCCUCCCGGGUUUGCUGUUCAUUGUUUUGGCAUCCAUGCAACUGGCAUUUGAACUAUACUGUAGCCCUCAGGGGAAGAAGUGACAGAUUUUUUUUAGGAUCAGCAGCUCUUUUUAAAAGAGAAAUUGCUAUUUCUUUUGUUAGAAGAGGUUAAAUUGUGAAACUGUCAAUUUUGAUUGUGUGGCUUUAAAUAAUUGAGUAUUAUAUAUAACAAGAUCUGAUCCCGCAAAUCCAUACUAGUGUGAGUAGUUAUUAGUCCAGUGGGAUCAUUUGCAAGACUAAGGAUUACUCUUGGGAGUAAGAGUCCAGUCCUACCCCACUAAAGGCAGUGUAAAAAAUUCACAGUGACGUAAACUGUACAGGACUUGGGGAGAGAAAGCACAGGUUUAUAGCUGCUUGAUAUUUGAGUUACCACUGUUAGGUCCAAGGAAAAUGGAGUAUAGAACAGGUUGUUUGGCCAGCUUAGCCAAAGUUAGGCUAACUGUAGUUGCUGGGCCAUUCCUGUCUCUCUGUGAAACAUGAGGACAUGCUUGCUUGGACUACAAAGAAUGAGAUAAAGGGCGGGGGACUGUAUUCUUGAACCAAAUGUACUAGGAACAGUUUGUUUGGACAUAUGGAGACUUGCAGUCCCCACUCCCUGUUUCUGUUCUUAACUCCCUCCUUUCUCUUAGUUUCUAGUGCAUGACGAAAAGCUGAUAAGAAGCUGCUAAGGCAUCAUGAACUGUUUGUACUGUCAAAGAACAUAGAUAUGCAUGAAUAUUAGAAGCUUUUAACUAGUAAAGGGGGGGAUUGGGUUGCUUUAACUAUGACGUGACGGAACUGUCUAUAUAAUCUCACUAGUUAUUGUAAUCGUGGCUGGUUCUCUCAGGAGACGGGCCGCUCUCUAUUGUUGUGUGCACUCUUCAAUAAAGAGCUUGUAUUGGACCUUGCUGGUGUUGCCUGUCUCUCACUCUGCGGUCAGACAACGAACCUUGCCGUCUGGGUUAAAAAGUCCCCGACAAAUUUGGCGACUCCGCCGGGACUCGUCUGACUCUCCGGUGCGGGAUCAGACUCCGAAGCAACGCAGCGCGCAUCCUCUGGCUUCAAGGAGCCUUGCCCGGUAACCUGAUCCCUGCAUCGGCGAUAAGGCGAGUUCUGUGAACCAGCUGAAGCCCGUAGAAACCCAGCAAUGUCCACCUACCCGUUGAGUAGGAUCCAGGUCUUCAGGGUUCGAGUCCCUGGGGAGGUCAGGUCUUCGGGGUUCGAGUCCCUGAAUAAGGUAAGCGAUCGCCAUAAAGGGGUUAGAGUCCCCGGGAAAGGGGUUAGAGUCCCCGAGAGAGGGGUUAGAGUCCCCGAGAGAGGGGUUAGAGUCCCCAGAGUAGGGUUAGAGUCCCUACAGGCUAAAUGGGACAAGUCGGCAGUAAAUGCCCGGGGGACGCCCCGUUGUCUCUGGUACUUAGAAAUUGGAAGGAAAUCUCUAGAACAACCGGUUUGACUAAAUCUAAAUGAGAAACUUAUGCCAAAUUCAAUGGCCUUCCUUUACUACUCAUUUGUCCCCGACUAAAGACUGGCCAAGGUGCGGAACCUUUUCUGUUGACAGGAUGGAUUCCCUCAGGAAUAUCCUGGUUGAUCUUAGACCGGGACAAAUGGAUUAUUUAUUUGUAUGGUAUAACUAUAAACCAAAAAAAAAAAACUGCUUUCGGCCCCAGCUGGCUGUGAAAAAAAUAUAGACAGAGGCAAACCAAAGGCAAUACAAGUUACAGUGCUGAGAUUACAUUUGCAAAGCUUAACUGUCCAGUGAGAUACAACAGUCUGCCUUUGAGACCCUGGAGCUGGUGUGGUUUGGGGACGCUGAAGAAGCCCCAGGCAGCCGGCCUGGACUGGAAUCUCUGAAAGAGACCCCAAGGUGUAAAAGAACAGCCCUCCCAAGAGUGAGAAGUUAACUCUAUAGUUGCUAGAGGGAAUUAAGCAGUGAAACUUAGUAAGAAUUUCUGUAAGUAAUCCAGGCAAGAAGUUAUUUAAGUGAAAUUAUUCAACUAUGAAUACGUUAGUCUAAUUUGCUAAAGAACACUCCUUCUGUGUACAAUCUGUAUUUUAUAAGUUUAAGAUAAAUUGGUAUUGUUUAAAGUUGCAAAAACCGAGAAUACUUUUGCCAGGCACAGGAAACUAGUGUUGUUUAAGGUAUUUAGCAUUUAAUCCUUAAGGUGACUUAAUGCUACAAAAUUUAAAAUGUUUUAAAUAAAGACCAAAAGUUGUGGCUGCAGCAGGGUAGUCAAAGCCAGAAGAAUAUAAAAUUUAAAUUUGUUUUUGGGUAACAAAAUAGCAGAUAAAAGAUCUGGUAAAGAGAGAGAAGGACAGUGCCCCUGGCUCUGUGUGGUCGAGCUGUCACUUUGCUGUGAGUGCAUAGAGAUUUUGUAAGCAUAAAAGAAACAGUUACACCUUGAGUAAAAAUUGAUGUGGCUAGCAUUGUGAAAAUUGAAUUGUGGAGAGGAUGUGCAUUUUCCCCAGAACAUGUGCAGUGUAUAUUGUAGCAAAAGUAAAAAAAAUGCAAACUUGCCAAUAUAGGUUGUGUUGUCUUUUUCAGAUCACUGUGUGUUUAAAAGCAGAAGUUAAAAGUAAAAGGCAAUCAAAAGUCUAAAAAAGUUAAUUGUGUCCUUUUUUAAAGUAAAAAUCUUUAAGCUGUAGAUAGCUUUGGAUCUAGAAGCAAGCUAAAAAGCAUCUGUAUUAAUGCAAUUUUCUAACUAAUAAGGUAGAAGCCACUGAAACCUGGGCUGCCUAUGAAACAAAUACAAAGAAAUAUGGAGUAAUUCCUCUGUUUUGCCUAAAAUCAACAAGAGUAUGUGUAUAUAAAAGAAAUAUUUUAAGUAAUUAAUGUCUUUCAAAUCAUCAGAGAAAACGGAUGCCAGCUGAACAGCAUUCAAUGUACCAUGCAUUUACUAGUACAACAGAAAUUAUUUUUGUGUUCUAUGUCCUGUCUUGUGAAGUUUGUCUAGUGGCCAGAAUUGUUGUGUUUAAUAUUUUCAUAAGACAGUCGAGUUCAAAAUUAAAUAAAAAAGUUAAAUAAAAAAGCAGAUACUUGUUUUAUUCAACUUAGAAUACAAAGUGUUUAAAUAAAUAAAAAAAAAAUGUAAUAUACUAAAGUCUAAUACAUUUGCUUAAGUAAAAAAAAAAGGCUUCAUUAGUCAAAUCUUUUAAUUAAAAAAAUGUUGUUAAAAUUUGCAUAUCAACAGUCUUUGAAAGCAAAGACAUGGAAGGUUAACCCACUCCCCAUAUUGCCCAUGGGAUCCUUCUGGCUACCUCAGAUUUCUAGCCAGAGGGCUAAAGAGGAAGGAAAGCUAUUGGACACAAGAGGUUGUACCGAGUGGACUCCUCAAAGGUGGGUGUGCUUGUCCUGGUUUGUUGCUCCAAAGCUCUGUAUAAAAGUUAUUUUACUAGAAGAGUGUAUAUGGCAUACAUUGAAUAAUAAGACUAAUGUACUGUAUAAUAGCAAUGUGUAUGUGUUCAUUGUUGAAAAAAAGUGUAUAAGUAAAAAGUAAAAGUUUCCUUUGUAAGUUAAAAGAAGCCAAGAAAAAAAAAAAAAAAAAAAAACAGAACAAGUUAACUGGAAAAAAAAAAUAGCUAGCAAGCUCAGUCUAAAGAUAAGAUGCUGGCCCAUCCAAGGGCACUGCCCACAGCUAAGACUUGGCUGACAGUCAAGAAAAAGGGGGGCCUGAAUGUGCCCAAGCAGCUGGAAAAUCUGCAAAACACUGCCAGGCAUUAAUGAAAUGUGUUAGGUUUUUCUCACAAGUAAAGAAGUGCUACCUAAAGACCAUAGCAGCCCUGCCAUUCAUUGAAACCAAGAGACUGAGUCUACGUAAAGUCCAUCAACGAAAGACUGCUUUGACUCCAUGCUAAAAAGGCCCUUUCCAAGUGCUGUUAACCACCGACACCACUGUGAAGUGCCAAGGACUGACUGCCUAGACCCAUGUUUCUCACUGCAAAAAGACCCCUCCACCUCGAGAGGACUCUCCGACUAAUGAUCAGCCUAUUCCUCCUUCUAACUCUGCUGUGCCUUCUGGACAGCAGAAAAAAAAAAAAAAAGACAAAGUAAAGUGCUAGUAACCUCUCCCUUGUCCACUGACAGACCUACUGUGCCUUUGGAUUUUUUCCUAAAAGAAGCAAAACCCAUUACAGAGUGAUGUGCUAGUAACCUCUCCCCUGUAUGAUGCUGAACCAUGACUGUUUCAAAAAAAAAAAAAAAGAACACUUGCUCCAUUGAAACCACCAAAGUCCAGGAAUUCCUGAUUACAAAAAAAAAAUUAAGAACUAACCCUAGUAAAGAAACAAAAAAUUACACACUGGCAGGAAGAAACUUGUGGGACCCAUGCUUGGAAAUGUAGUUUUGAUUAAAUUUUGAGGUUUAUUCUACAGGCUGCGUCCUGUGUUUUGAAUAAGUCCUUCAGCAUGUAUUGCCCUCCCUAAUUAGAUUUUAAAUGCAAAAAAGGCUGCUAUUAGAUUAGCACAAUAAAAAGUUUGGGUUAUUUCCUCUAGAAAAAAGAGAGACUUGACCGGAUCCCUAUAGGAUAGGGCCAAUAGUACAGCAGCAGUUUAAAAUAUUUUAAAAACCAAAAGCAUAAUAAGAAAUUAAGGCAACUAAAGAAGGCCACAAGCCUUAUUUGUGGAGCACAGCUAACCCAAGUACAGGCUAGAAUUAGUAAGUUACAUGUUAUCUCCGCCCUUAGUACUAUGACCCAAAAGUUGCUAAUAAAGAUGGUAUUGAAUAUCACUGAGGCUAAGAAGGCAUUGCAGUGGGAUCUAGCAUGUUCAGGCUUGGCCCACUGCCCUUACAGACACAUCAGAAGUACCAUCUGAUCUGUGGCCAUGGAGAAAUACUUAGAGACUUUCCUAGUAGAAGUGCGGACAUUCUCAAUGCUCCUUCCAAGCAUAUGGACCGGUUAGAGAGGUGUGGGCUCCCACAUACCGAAUCCUGCCGAGUCCAUGGGGAGGAUGCAUGUGAAAUUGGGUAAUUCACCGAGACAGCUGAGAAAUUAGACUAACGCCGAUGCCCUGGUGGACUUGGCAACCGCACAGAGAAAACUAAGGCAGAUGGUUCUCCAGAACCACUUGGCUCUAGAUAUUUUACUGGCCUCUCAAAAAAGAACAUGUGCAUUAAUUGGACAAGAAUGCUGUGUGUAUGUCCCAGAUGUUUAUAAUGCCACUUGGGAAAGAGCAAACCACCUUAUAAAAGUAGCAAAAGACCACGAAGAGAAGCGAAUUGAAUCCUAGUAGAGUAACCUGUUCAAUUGAAUUCCAGAUAUAGGUGGUUGGCUCCAUAAUGUACUCCGAAGCGCCGUUGUAAUUAUAUGCGGCUUACUGGCCUUGUAUGUUAUAAUAAAAGUUGAACGUUGGAUGGGCGCCAAGGUGUGUUCUGCCCAAAAGUAACCAACCCCAGUCUUUCUGCUCAGUAGUUGUCCCAGGAGUCCCUUCGAGGUACUCCAGGGACAAAGGGGGGACUGUUAGGUCCAAGGAAAAUGGAGUAUAGAACAGGUUGUUUGGCCAGCUUAGCCAAAGUUAGGCUAACUGUAGUUGCUGGGCCAUUCCUGUCUCUCUGUGAAACAUGAGGACAUGCUUGCUUGGGCUACAAAGAAUGAGAUAAAGGGCGGGGGACUGUAUUCUUGAACCAAAUGUACUAGGAACAGUUUGUUUGGACAUAUGGAGACUUGCAGUCCCCACUCCCUGUUUCUGUUCUUAACUCCCUCCUUUCUCUUAGUUUCUAGUGCAUGACGAAAAGCUGAUAAGAAGCUGCUAAGGCAUCAUGAACUGUUUGUACUGUCAAAGAACAUAGAUAUGCAUGAAUAUUAGAAGCUUUUAACUAGUAAAGGGGGGGAUUGGGUUGCUUUAACUAUGACGUGACGGAACUGUCUAUAUAAUCUCACUAGUUAUUGUAAUCGUGGCUGGUUCUCUCAGGAGACGGGCCGCUCUCUAUUGUUGUGUGCACUCUUCAAUAAAGAGCUUGUAUUGGA